rnacentral:rRNA from 1 species
UAUGUAGGGGGCAAGCGUUGUCCGGAUUUAUUGGGCGUAAAGAGCGUGUAGGCGGUUAGGUAGGUCCGUUGUGAAAACUCGAGGCUCAACCUCGAGACGCCGAUGGAAACCAUCUGACUAGAGUCCGGAAGAGGAGAGUGGAAUUCCUGGUGUAGCGGUGAAAUGCGCAGAUAUCAGGAAGAACACCCGUGGCUAAGGCGGCUCUCUAGUACGUGACUGACGCUGAGACGCGAAAGCGUGGGGAGCGAACAGG